AAAUCCACUAGUUCUCGUACGAUCACCGAAGCUAAGCAACGUCGAGCCUGUUCAAUAACUAGAUGGGUGACCACCUGAGAAUACCAAGUGCUGUAAG